UAGCAUAUCAAUAAGCGGAGGAAAAGAAACCAACAGGGAUUGCCCUAGUAACGGCGAGUGAAGCGGCAACAGCUCAAAUUUGAAAUCUGGCCCUCGGGUCCGAGUUGUAAUUUGUAGAGGAUGCUUUUGGUGCGGUACCUUCCGAGUUCCCUGGAACGGGACGCCAUAGAGGGUGAGAGCCCCGUCUGGUUGGAUACCAAUCCUCUGUAAAGCUCCUUCGACGAGUCGAGUAGUUUGGGAAUGCUGCUCUAAAUGGGAGGUAUAUGUCUUCUAAAGCUAAAUACCGGCCAGAGACCGAUAGCGCACAAGUAGAGUGAUCGAAAGAUGAAAAGCACUUUGAAAAGAGAGUUAAAAAGUACGUGAAAUUGUUGAAAGGGAAGCGCUUAUGACCAGACUUGGGCUUGGUUGAUCAUCCUGGGUUCUCCCUGGUGCACUCUUCCAGUUCAGGCCAGCAUCAGUUCGCUGCGGGGGAUAAAAGCUUUAGGAAUGUGGCUCUUUCGGGAGUGUUAUAGCCUAUUGCAUAAUACCCUGCUCCGGACUGAGGUUCGCGCAUCUGCAAGGAUGCUGGCGUAAUGGUCAUCAGCGACCCGUCUUGAAACACGGACCAAGGAGUCGUCUUCGUAUGCGAGUGUUCGGGUGUUAAACCCCUACGCGUAAUGAAAGUGAACGCAGGUGAGAGCUUCGGCGCAUCAUCGACCGAUCCUGAUGUUCUCGGAUGGAUUUGAGUAAGAGCAUACGGGGCCGGACCCGAAAGAAGGUGAACUAUGCCUGUAUAGGGUGAAGCCAGAGGAAACUCUGGUGGAGGCUCGCAGCGGUUCUGACGUGCAAAUCGAUCGUCAAAUAUGGGCAUGGGGGCGAAAGACUAAUCGAACCUUCUAGUAGCUGGUUUCCGCCGAU
rnacentral:rRNA from 1 species